rnacentral:sRNA from 1 species
UCUGGGAUCACUGGUUCAAGAGGAGAAGCAUGUGCUGGCCAUCCUAACGUUGGUGCGCCAGUGAUUAAUCCAGCCGAUAAUGCUACAGAAAUUGCAUAUUCUUUCCAGCUAAAUGAAUUCUU